rnacentral:rRNA from 1 species
UACAGAGGGUGCAAGCGUUAUCCGGAUUCACUGGGUUUAAAGGGUGCGUAGGCGGGCAGGUAAGUCAGUGGUGAAAUCUCCGAGCUUAACUCGGAAACUGCCGUUGAUACUAUUUGUCUUGAAUAUUGUGGAGGUAAGCGGAAUAUGUCAUGUAGCGGUGAAAUGCUUAGAUAUGACAUAGAACACCAAUUGCGAAGGCAGCUUACUACACAACGAUUGACGCUGAGGCACGAAAGCGUGGGGAUCAAACAGG